GGGAGCGCGGUGUGGGGCAGGACGCCUUGGGGCAGGGCGGAAGCACUGUGUGGGGUCGGGAGUUGUGGGGCGGGGCGCCAUGGGGCAGAGAAGGAGCGCGGUGUGGGGCGGGGUGCUAUGGGGCGGGGCCGGAGCGCUGGGUGGUCCGGGCGCUAUGGGGCUGCAGCUCUAUGGGGCGGGGAGCUAUGGGGCAGGGCUCUAUGGGGCAGGGCGCUAUGGGGCAGGGCGCUGUGGGGCAGGGCGUCACCCACAUUUACACAACCACCCAGCCGUGACAUCGGGCAUCGCACGGGGGAACCCGGACGGACGGACGGACGGACGGAUGUGGGGACAGGAGGAUGGAGGGACAGACGGACACAGGGAUGCGGGGAAAGGACAGACUGACAGACGGGG
rnacentral:lncRNA from 1 species